rnacentral:pre_miRNA from 2 species
GUGCUCGGUUUGUAGGCAGUGUAAUUAGCUGAUUGUCCUCUGCUGCUUACAAUCACUAACUCCACUGCCAUCAAAACAAGGCAC